UUGGAGGUAGCUGGUCCUCGUUUUCUCUAAUUGGAGAUAAUAUUUAAGUAGGUGUCACACCCUGACCUGAGAGAGAUGGUUUGUUUCUCUAUUUGGUUAGGUCAGGGUGUGGGGUGGGCAUUCUAUGGUGUCUAUUUCUUUGUUUUGAGCUGAGUAUGGUUCCUAAUCAGAGGCAGCUGUCUAUCGUUGUCUCUAAUGAGGAAUCAUACUUAGGCAGCCUUUCCCCACCUGUAGUUGUGGGAUCUUAUUUUUGUACUGCUUGUUAAGCCUACAAGACGUUACGGUCGUGUUCAUUGUUUAUUCCUCAUGUUUGUAGUGUUCUGAGGUAAAUAAAUUCAACGAUGAACACUUACCAUGCUGCGCUUUGGUCCACUCCUUUUGACGGUCGUGACAGUAGGGUUUUUUCUUCCUGGGUUUUUGUGGGUUAUUAUAUUUUGAGUAGUGUUUGUUUCUCUCUGCAUCACGGUUUGUUUUGUCAAUUUAGUUUUUUAUGUAUUGCAAAGUUUUACGGAUUUAAUAAAAUGUGGAACUACAACCACGCUGCACUUUGGUCCGAUCCUUUCGACAGCCGUGACAACAUCCCACAGUCCACACCCCCUCAAUAAAGAUCUGUUGCUCCCCAACCCCCAUCACUUAUUUGGGACAGGCCAGCUCCAGCUCCAACUUGGUUCACUAUAGUACGUCCAACUACAUAAAAACAGAGACAAUGGAAGGAACCCAAGCCUGCACCACAGUGCCAUCUUACCUGGGAUGGUCCAUUUUCAACACUUUAUGCUGCUGUCUCCCAAUUGGAAUUGCGGCAAUAGUUUGCUCAUGCAAGGCGGAUAAUGCAAACGCAGUUGGAGAGGCAACAGUGGCUGCAGAGGCGUCCAGGAUGGCCAAGAUCCUCAAUAUCGUUGGAUUUGUUGUUGGGAUUGUGUUGCUCAUCAUUGUUGUUGCACUGAAACUCACUAGUCGGGAGUGAAAAAGGAGAAUAUGUUUUUGUUCCAUCUUUUGCCCUUUGCAUUCCUUUUUACGACUUCAUACAACACACCAGCCCAGACAUACCCUGAUGAGGACAAGCUGUGCUCUAACUGAGCCCCAGUGUUAACAAACGCCUUGAAAGCAAUUAACUGACCAGCUCUUGCGUUCCAUGCUCAGAGACAUCUAGGUAGAACUUGACUGUAGAUGUUGCAGUUGCUGGUUUGAGAAAAUAUAUGAAGCUUCCCGACUGUCAAAUGUAAUAAUAAACACAUGAAUCCGCCAUAA